GAGUUUGAUCAUGGCUCAGCGCGAACGUUGGCGGCGUGCCUAACACAUGCAAGUCGUGGGGCAGCAGACUGCUGUCUUUUGGCAGUAGUGCUGGCGACCGGCAAACGGGUGAGUAACACGUAGCUUACCUACCCAUAGGUUGGGGAUAACAUCCCGAAAGGGGUGCUAAUACCCAAUAAUGAGGAGACUCCAAAGCCCUUAUGGGUGCCUAUGGAUGGGGCUGCGUCCCAUCAGCUUGUUGGUGAGGUAAUGGCUCACCAAGGCUACGACGGGUAACCGGUCUGAGAGGAUAACCGGUCACAGUGGGACUGAGACACGGCCCGCACCCCUACGGGGGGCAGCAGUGGGGAAUAUUGGGCAAUGGCUGAAA
rnacentral:rRNA from 1 species